UCAGAUUGAACGCUGGCGGCAGGCCUAACACAUGCAAGUCGAGCGGUAACAUUUCUAAGCUUGCUUAGAAGAUGACGAGCGGCGGACGGGUGAGUAAUGCUUGGGGAUCUGCCUGAUGGCGGGGGACAACCACUGGAAACGGUGGCUAAUACCGCAUAAUACCUAUGGGUCAAAGUGUGGGACCUUCGGGCCACACGCCAUCAGAUGAACCCAAGUGAGAUUAGCUGGUUGGUAAGGUAACGGCUUACCAAGGCGACGAUCUCUAGCUGGUCUGAGAGGAUGAUCAGCCACACUGGGACUGAGACACGGCCCAGACUCCUACGGGAGGCAGCAGUGGGGAAUAUUGGACAAUGGGGGCAACCCUGAUCCAGCCAUGCCGCGUGUGUGAAGAAGGCCUUCGGGUUGUAAAGCACUUUCAGUGGUGAGGAAGGUGGUGUCGUUAAUAGCGGCAUCAAUUGACGUUAGCCACAGAAGAAGCACCGGCUAACUCCGUGCCAGCAGCCGCGGUAAUACGGAGGGUGCGAGCGUUAAUCGGAAUUACUGGGCGUAAAGCGCACGUAGGCGGUAUGUUAAGCAAGAUGUGAAAGCCCAGAGCUCAACUCUGGAAUAGCAUUUUGAACUGGCAUGCUAGAGUUUUGGAGAGGGUGGUAGAAUUUCCAGUGUAGCGGUGAAAU
rnacentral:rRNA from 1 species